rnacentral:rRNA from 1 species
AUCGAACGCUGGCGGCAGGCCUAACACAUGCAAGUCGAGCGAGCGGCGGACGGGUGAGUAAUGUAUGGGGACUGCCCGAUCGAGGGGGAUAACUACUGGAAACGGUGGCUAAUACCGCAUACUAUCGGAUAACCCAUAUGGGAUUAGCUAGUAGGUGGGGUAAAGGCUACCCUAGGCGACGAUCUCUAGCUGGUCUGAGAGGAUGAUGAGCCACACGUGGAGUGAGACACGGCCCAGCCUCCUACGGAGGCAGCAGUGGGGAAUAUUGGACAAUGGGCGCAAGCCGGCUGCGGCCCUGCCGCGGGGAGGAAGAAGGCCUUAGGUUUUGAAAGGAGUUUCAGCGGGGAGGCGUUACCCGCAGAGAAAGCACCGGCUAACUACGUGCCAGCCGCCGCGGUAAUAC